GCAUUAGACACAUCAGUAAACAUGUUGUGAACAGGGUUUAGGUAACAUUCCUGGACACCAGUGACAAUUGUAUGUUAUAUCUAAGCACUGUAAAGCUGAAUAACCCUUGGUAAAGGGUAAACCCUGGGUGAAUGAGUGUCUCUCUGUGUUGGGAUCCCAGAUGCUGAUCCUGAGCUCCCAGUCACAAGAAAAGACAGUAAUGAGAUGCUGCCACCAAACAGUAAGUCAUUACUGACUGAUUCUAACAGUCUCUAAGCCUUUACAUCAGGGGUCUAGAACAGAAAUAAUAGUUUGACUGUUUCUUAUCACUGAUUUAAUCUGAUCUCAAUUAAAACCCUCUUUCAGCUGUGAGACGUAGGAGGCAUAGAGAUGUGGUUAGGAGUUUGAAAUAAUGGCCUUGAUAUUAAUCAUGUGUAAAAAUGCCCUGAGAUUUAUUUAUCCAGAGAUUAGGAGAGAUAAAGCAUAACUACUAGAUCUUAAAAUUUACAUUUUGAUCAGGGAAAACAGACAAAACGGAAGCCAAUGGGGGUCAGAGAUGGAGUAAAAUUUCAGGUUCAGAAACAAUAUCUCUGCAAACAAACAUUUGUUCCCUAAAACCGCACAAAUGGUCUGGACAGUUUCCUGCCCCUGUUCACACAUGAGCUCACCUGGGCGUUGUCCUGGCACUGUACUAGGGGGCUGGCAGGGUCAUGUCGGCACCAUUUACACUGAAUUCUACCCCACAAACUAGUGAUUCGCUUUACUUUUAAAGUAUCAACGCAAUGGAAACUAAAGUUGCCUCGUUUUUCAACAUCAGGGCUGUGAUCGGACUUAAGCUACUGCUCUCUCAUUAUUCCCUUUAAACUUCUCUCAAGUUUUCUAUCAUAACUCUGGGAAUUUGACAUUAAAACAGCAGCAGGUUUGGGACACAUCAUUCCAAGACACAAUAAGGUGUGAGACUGAAUGGCUGUGCCCAGGCAAACUCCGGAUCCUAUUUUGUGGAUAUUGUCCAGAGUUCAUAUCUGAAAGAGGCUAAAGACAUCCCAGUUUACAUAUUCUAAACUGAUUUUACCCACUAUGUCUGCAAUUAGGUUGUGUCCAUGAAUCAAUUAAAUAGUUUAAGAACUGAAGGACUUUUAAAUGCUGUUACCAUCCAAAGAAGAUGAGUGGCUAUUGACUGAGUGAAUCUCCGUCUUCUCUUGUCAGUGGGAGGUUGGAGGCCUGUUAGACCUUUUUAGGUAGUCUGGCAUGCCUUGCCUUGAUGUUUUUGUAUAUUUCCUCUAACUAAAAAACAUUGAUGCAUAAGUGGCAUAUAUGUAGAAGAUUAAAGGUUUCUGGGGGUGUUCCUUUUUAGGACAAAAACUCGCAGAGAUUUAAAGGCAUAUUGAGAACAAGAACCUAAAACAAUUUUCCCACCGGUGGGAAAUAUGACAUUUUAGGGUUAAGACUAAUUACUUAUAAUGACACUUAACCCUCCUGUGGUGUUUGGUCUGUGGGACCCAUUGUCAAUGUACAAGAAGAAAAACGAAUUUGUUUUAAAAAGAACAUGUUAAACUUAUUCUGAUUGAGUGCAUAUUGUACCCCCUCUCACUAAUUCAUUGUGUAACAUAUGUUAUGUUCGGGCCCGCUGCACCCAGAUUUCAUAAAGGUUUAAACUGUAGGACACAGUUGGCCUCUGUAAUAUCUGAAACUCCUCAUAUAUCCAGACAAAGUUGCAAGUCAUAUGCAGUUGCAGUCAUAUUUAAAGCAUGGGAAUCUUUCCUCUCCAUCCUUUGUCACUUGUAUUUCAGUUGUUUCACAAUUGUUUUUAUGCUUGUCUCUAUACCAUGUACACUUCUCUCCAAAACUAUACACACAGUGGGCUUUACAGACACACACCAGAGCACAUCGCUCUUCCGAAUUUAUGAAGAAGUGGUCAUUAAAUACAUUUUGUAUCAAAGCAAUGCAAACGUAUCCAUAGUUAAGUUCACAAAGUUUGCUGAUAUGGUGAAUGUGUUAAGUCAUCUUCAUAUCGCAUAUGAUGUGAUUGAAAAAUUAGCUUGUUGUGAUGUUUAUGAAUGCCCUUCUCACUAAGUUGAAUGGGCUGUAAUGUGAUGUUUUCUGUCUCAGUGUCUGAAGUCCAGGCUGUUUAUCCUAAACCAGCGACCAGAGAGGAGUUCUCACAGUGUAAGUUGGACAUAAAGACAUGCAAGCUAUCACACAUAUACACACAUUGUGCACACGCACAUGCACACACAGGGAUACACUCACAUGCAUAAAAUCAUGAACAUAGUAGCAAACCCACAUACAAAUUCAACCCCCCCCCCCCCACACACACACACACACACACACACACACCAACACACACCUUCAUUCAUGCCUUUGAACUUUUGAAUACACAGCCACUGGAACAUUUACACCCUCAGUGUCACUCAUAUAUAAAAAUAACCCCAUUUACACACAAGCAUUCACACACACAUAAACACACACACAAUUUUAUUGAUAUAGCGCCAAAACAAUAAAAUUGACUCAAGCCGCUUUACAGAGUCCAGAGCUAGUACAAUGGCGACCGGGGCAAGGCAAGACUCCCUGUUAAUCAGGAAGAAACCUUAAGCAGAACCGGGGCACAUAAGGGGGGACCCAUCUGCUUGGAGCUGGCAGACUUUCACAUACAAAGACACUGGAACACUUUCACACUCCUAUAUACAAAGGACUCAUCUCACACAAAGGAAUCAAAUCAAACAAACCCAAGUACUUACAGAAACUCAACAUCAUUCAUUCAUAAAAAGGGCUACCUUCAGCCAAACACACAAACUGUCUUUUACACACACACACACACACACACAACACACCACACACACACACACACACACACACACACACACACACACCACACACACACACAAAGCCAUACUCACUUUUGAACGUUUAAAUACAGACAUUCAUACAUGUACACCUGCACAAACAUGUACAGAAUCACACACACAAAAACAAAUCUCACUUAUAUGUGAAACAUUCCCUCACAGAAGAAAUCACAGAAAUAAAUCUCAUCCCCCACACGCAAAGAUUCAUAUAAAAUAACAACAACAUCCACACACACA
ensembl:lncRNA